rnacentral:lncRNA from 1 species
UUCGCCUUGCCAUGAUCUCCUAAAGCACCUGAAACAAUAAACCACAACUGUAAGCCCGAAAGCUUAGUGAGUUCCCCCAAAGUACUCAUACACACACAAACAUACGCAUACAGCAAAGAACAACAUACUUCGGGUCCAAUCAACCUUCCGGUUGGAAUACCCCCGGCCCUCAACCAUCGGGUUGGAAUGCCUACAUAAUUAAUAUGUGUAUUUUUAUAUAUAUUUUUAUGCAUUAUAUCUUAAUAUUUUGGCCUUUAUUAUUCUCUUUUAGAACUAAAAAGUACUCAUAAUGCUUUGAAUUAUGAUUUGCAGCUAUUCGUUGACGAUAAAGCACAAAAGAAAAGACUGAAGCGGAAACCGGGCUUAGAAGCUAAAAGUAAUUAAAAAUGCUGGAGCAACAAUUACGCCCCGCGUAAAUAGCAAUUAUGCUAAGCGUAGCGACCAAAUUGAAUUACGCCCAACGUAACUUAAGGGUACGCCCCGCGUAAUGGCUGGCACCGGAUAAACUCCAUCGCGUUGUAAUCCUUAGUACGCCCAGCGUAAUUCGACUUACGCCCAGCGUACGUAAGUCGGCCACAAAGGUUAUAAAAGUCGAUUUUCAGCUAAUCAGGAAGGGGAUUCGACUUCCAACUUAAUUUAGUCGAUAUUAAACUUCUGUUAAGCCGUUUUGAGGAUCUAGAAGGCGGCCGGAAGGCCGUUAAGCUAACGGGAGCGGAGAUCGGAAGGGUUGGAGAGCAGAUACGUGUCGGUAAUCAUAUGGGUUGCUAACGGGACCAUGUUUAGCAUUCCAUUGUGGUACUUUUCUGUAUUCAGUUUCUGAUUUGGGUGUAAAAACCUUUUAUUUUGUGUUUAUGAUUGAAUGAAGCUUUGAUUAUUUAACUAAUUGCUAUAUUGAAUUGUUUAUUUAUCUUUAAUUUAUCUUGCCAAGCUUGUUAAAAGAUCCUUAUGUGUUAAUGAUGAUUAUUUUCUGUUAAUUGUUAAGUGAAUUGAGUUGUGUGAACACCUGCUUGAUUGCUUGUCUCUUAUGAUUUUGAUGACCAUCGAGAUUAUAAGUCUAGGAAUAACGAAUGUGAAACUAGGAUUAACUUGGGAAUAAGUAAGUUAAUGUGUGAGCCUUGUUUGAUGACCAUCAACAAGAGGUUAAAUUGAAUUAGUAAUUCGAUUAACUAUAUUUACAAGUCUUGCUUGAUACGAACUGAACACUAGGAAGCAUGUUAGUUUAAUCAACUGAUCACUGUUUGAAUUGACUUGUUUGCUAAAGGAUUAGUUAUAGUGAACGCGAAUCUAAUCAUUUUAGGAAUCGGUGAACAUGAAUAAAUGAAUUUGUGUAUGCAAUUGUCUAUGUUUUUAAGGUGUAAUUUAUCUAAACCAAAGUACCUGAAGAGAUUUGCUUUCCUGUUAGUUUAUCGAGAGUUGUUAAUUGUUAGUUUGAGAUUUAUUAAACCAUUUUCUUUAUUAUUUUCGUGUGACCUGUAACCUAUAAUCAAAUAUAUUAAAUUAAUUCACCACCGUUCCCUGUGAUCGACACCCGACUUACCUAAGCUAUACUGUAAUCUGACUAGGUACACUGCCUAUAAGUGCAUAGUUAGUCUAAGUUUGUUAGGUUAUAAAUAUUAAAAUUAGUGGGUACUUUUGUGCACAUCAAGUUUUUGGCGCCGUUGCCGGGGAACGGCUUUCAAUUAAUUUAGUUUAUUUGAUUAUUCGUUAUUUGUUUUUAGUUAGUUUUUAUUUUUAGUUUGAUUUUCGAUGAUAUCAAUUCACUUGUCGGGAAGGUUCUUGUUGUUAUUUGCAGGAAUUUGGGACUGUACACAUUGCUUGACUUUACUUUUUGCAUGGGUUUCGAGGAUGAAAGCGAUUAGGGAAUUCUUGACUUGCUUAGCGUACUACUUUGUUGAUUUGUCAAACUCAAUCCAUGAGGCGUAGUAUAGCAAGGCGUAUGGUGGUGGUUAAGUGGAAGACCGAGCUCUUGCUGUUCUUGACUAGUUAGGUCACUUCUUGUUCCGCUUUUAGUUAAAGGUGCAAGGAAAACAAAGGAAAUAUUCUAACGGGUCCCGAAAGUGGGUGUUUUCGCAAACCAAUUCUUGCAUGCAAAGGUUUUUAAUCAACCAUUGUUGUUUGAUCUUGACAAAGAUAAGUGAUUGUGACGUCUCAUUUUUUUUCACUCAUCGGAAAGUCAUUUGCUGAAGAAAUUAAAAAGAAAAAAAAAUUAAGUUUUAAGUCCCUUAAUUAAAUAAUUAAAAGAAAAGGAAGUUAAAUUAAAGAAAAAGGAAAAGUUUCAUUUAAGUUUACUUACGCCAAGCAUAAUAAACCCCGGAUCGCGUAUGGAUUUUCAUGAAAUUGGGGUUACACCCAAUGUAACAUUGUGUUACGCCCAGCGUAAGACGACGACAAGGUUAUAUCUUUUGACCCUUGACUUUUUUGUUACUUUUUCACAAUCCCUUUCGCACACACAAAACUGUGACGNCACACACAAACUGUGACGGACGAAGUCUUUCCAAGAAUCUCGAUUUUUCUACUUUUCUUGUAAAAUUCGGCACACAAGUAAGUAUUUCGGGUACUCAAUGUUAUGGAUUUAUGUUUAAAUCGACGAAAUUGGCUGCAAAUUGCCUUUGUUCGAAAUCUAGGGUUUAUAUAGUUCUUGAAUUAGGGCCGAUUUCGCAAAUAUAUGUUCUGAUUACCACUUAAAUGGACCGAUUUCUAUCAAUUAACUAAACCCUAGGACUUAAUUUGGUCUUAAUCCCGUCCCACACCCAUCGAUUUAAACUCUGGGACGUACGCCUAGCGUAACCCCUGUUGACUUCAAUUCUUCACUGCUACACAUGUUUCCCUGUUAAGUGUUUGCUAAUAGACAAGGAAUUUACAGGGAUUGAUUCAUAUUUUUAGGGAGGUCCCGUUUUUUUUUCUACUAUGUAGGACCACGCAAUCCUUAUGCUCGAUAUGCCCAUGCUGGGUUUAUUACUUGUAGAUUGGCUUAAUUUAAAAAAAAUUGAUUUGGGAACAAGCAAAGGAACCAGGACACAGACUCGUGAACUUGGACGUACGCCCAACAUACGCUGGAUGUACGCCCAGCGUACAGACCAUGUCCAGCUCCAAUUUUUUUUGGUUUAAAAAUUUGUUAAUUCUGUGAAAUUGUGUUUGGUUUUGUGUUUGUGUUUAUUUGUGCAGAUUAUGGCCCGAAGAACCCAACGGACUAACCCACCCGAGGAUGUGACCGAUCACCGUUUCUUACAAUUUCCGCAAACGCUGAACGAUGCAACCCGGACACGAUAUGUCAACAGUUUGAGUUUGCUGCUCACCAAGGAGAUCGACAUAGCACCCUCAUUUGAUUGGGACUUGGCGACCCGGACUGGACUAGCUGCACUGAUCCAGAAAUUUUUGCAAUACACGCACUCGGACGCGAGUGGUGUGGAUUUGUUCGUGUGUCAGGGAUGGGCAUGAUUGUUCAAGAUCCAGGAGCCUGUUUAUCGGGAAUUUUUGUUGGAGUUCUACGCUACAGUUUCCUAUGAUCCUAGGAAGGCACCCAAUGACAGGAUAGCUUUUGCCUUUAGACUGGGGGAGUGAGCCGGGAAUGCAGCGUGAUAGAGCUUGCAACUCGAGUGGGUAUUUACACAGGGGAUUAGACGAGGAGUGUCCACUUCCCGGCAUUCCUUGCUGAUUGUCUUACGGAGCGGCCAUACGACUAUAACGAGAACACUUUUUGGGCCAAGAUUACCGGAGGCGUUUAUAUGCCAUCCACUGCACGGGGUAGGAUGAUACGGUUUACUACCUACAGAUUGCUGCACCGGUUGAUUUCCAUGACUCUCACGCAUCACAAGAACAGUGAGAGUGUGCCUUCGACAGACUUGUAUUUCCUAUGGGCACUUGUUACUCCAGGGAGGCACCUGAACCUUCCCGUUGCUUUAGCUGCAUAUUUGGGACGGAGUGCCAGGGGACUUCGGGAGGAUAGCCCGAUAUACGGAGGGCAUUUUAUCACGCGGUUAGCCCGAUCAUAUCAGUUGCUGACGCGUGAGAUCACGAGAUCGAUGGCGUUCCACGAUAUGAGGCCGAUGAGCCUUCAGCUGUUGGAGUCGAUGCGUGUAUUGGAGCGGGGUGGAGAUGGUGUCUUGUGAGUACGAGUAGAUGAUGUGGCGGACGAGGAGGGUGCCGCCGAGCCACAGCCNCGGCGUAGACCUGCUCCUCGGGGAGCGCAGCAGGGACCUGAGCCGGAGAUUGAUAUGCGCUACCUAGCUCAGGGCAUUGACCGUCUUGACAUGAGGGUCCAGAACCUUAGCGAGUAUGUUGCACAUGUGGACAGGCAACAGCAGUGGUAUGGGGAUGCGUUGAACGCAUUGUUUGCCCACCAGGGGUUUCAGUAUUCGGUUCCCUACCCACCACCAUUCCAGCCACGACAUGAUGGGGCCGGUACUUCGGGGACACAACAGCAUGAUGAUGGAGAUGAUGAGUGAUCCUUUUUAUUUUUAUUUUUGUGUUUAUUUUUGUGUUUUUUUUGUGUUUAGUUUAGUAUUUUUAUUUGGUAUGUAAUUAAACUUUAAUUUAGUUUGUUUUUAUUUUUGUUUUCCAUGUUGAUGCUCUUUGGUUGUUUAGAUUUCUGCAGAAUUUUCGCCUUUAGAAAGCUAGCAGUAAGUUCAGCAGCUAGGUCCGACUAUUGCUAGAGAGAGCCGUGUGAGAGUUCGAAGAUUAUAGUCAAGACCCACAAUUUGUCAUAAGUGUGGGGUGCAUAUUGAUUUCGUGAGCGAUUGUUUAGAAGAUUGGCAUAUUUUUACGAUAUUUUGACUCUUAUGAUAUGGAUGAGCUGUUCCCACACCAUAGAGUUCUAUUUCGAUGCGAGGAAGACGUAUCAUCCCGGCUGCCAUGACAUGGUUGACACUUUCCUAUGUUGUGGGGGAUUUUUGUUUUCAUCGCGAGAGAAGAGAUGUCUUUCUUGACGAGACGACGUGGUCNUGGUUACUAUACUUUGCAUUUAUUUGCAAUAUUUUGCACCACAUUUUUGAAGAUGGCGGUCUUGAUUUUAUUUUUCGGCAAAUUCAGAAGUAGCAGUUCCAGUUUUCAGUCUUUCGGCGAUAUUGGAAGCAACUUGUAGCAGCCCCAUUCGAUCUCGCCACAACUACCCAGGGGAGUCUGUUCCUUUUUCUCCCUUUUUAUGUUCUUAAUUCGUUUUAUCAUUCAAUGAGGGCAUUGUAUGAAAUAAGUGUGGGGUAGGGGAUCGGUAAAAGUAAAUUAAAAUUAUAAGAAAAAAUAAAAUAAUAGUUAGGAAAUUGCUAGAUUUAGGAAAUUUAAAAUUUUAAAAACUUGAAAUAAUAGUUUAAUUUAGAAAAAUCUAGUGAUAAUUUAAAUUUUGCUAAUAUUGUAUGAAAUGAUCCGAUGAGAACUCAAAUGUUUAGUUGAGCCAAUAUACGUUAUAGUGCAUUUGUGGCCUCCCUUAUUUUAGUGAAAUCAUGGAACAAAAACAUAACCCCGCUUGGUUUGAGGGAUGCAAUAUGUUUAGCAGCCUAAACCUGAAAUGUAUCCAGGAAAAUUAUUAUCAUUAACCAAUAAAGGUUGAGGUUGAGCGCUCUGCUUAAGCAUGUAGGUUUUGAGUGAAAAAAAAGUGAGGUACAUGUAUAAAAAAAAGAGAGAAUUACGAGAAAAGUUUGAAGAAUUUUGGAGCAAAUAAAGUGAAGAUCAAAAGAUCAAAAUUCCAAGAAAUUUCAAAAAGUUGAAGAUACCAGAAAUCAAAUCAACAAAGGUGGUGAAUUCAAAGAAAUUAAAGAUCAAAUGUCAAAGAAUUGAAGAAUUCCAAAAGAGCUCCAUAGUGGUAUCGAAAAAUUGUAAUUCUAGAUUAUGUAUGCUUAGGUUGCUCAACUAAAAAUACCUUGAGGUUAGGAGGUUUUCUGCGGAUGGAUUCGGAGGGUUGCAUAAAAUGAGCAUUGUUCGGAAAAAGUGGGCAAGUGUUUAUGAAGAUUGUGAGUAUUUAAAGUAGGGGGGGUACUUUAGGAAAAUUUUAGACACAAAUGCAUGCGUUGCGGUCUUGACAUAAUGGCUGAGUUUUAAAUGGAUUGUUUAGUGCGAUAUUGGUAAAAUAAAAGUAAAUUUGCUUGGGGGCAAGCAAAGGCUAAGUGUGGGGUAUUUUGAUAUGUGUAUUUUUAUAUAUAUUUUUAUGCAUUAUAUCUUAAUAUUUUGGCCUUUAUUAUUCUCUUUUAGAACUAAAAAGUACUCAUAAUGCUUUGAAUUAUGUUUUGCAGCUAUUCGUUGUCGAUAAAGCACAAAAGAAAAGACUGAAGCGGAAACCGGGCUUAGAAGCUAAAAGUAAUUAAAAAUGCUGGAGGAACAAUUACGCCCCGCGUAAUACACUUCUACGCUAAGCGUAGCGACCAAAUUGAAUUACGCCCAGCGUAACUUAAGGGUACGCCCCGCGUAAUGGCUGGCACCGGAUAAACUCAAUCGCGUAGAAAUCCUUAGUACGCCCAGCGUAAUCCGACUUACGCCCAGCGUACGUAAGUCGGCUACAAAGGUUAUAAAAGUCGAUUUUCAGCUAACCAGAAGGGGGGAUUCGACUUCCAACUUAAUUUAGUCGAUAUUAAACUUCUGUUAAGCCGUUUUGAGGGUCUAGAAGGCGGCCGGAAGGCCGUUAAGCUAACGGGAGCGGAGAUCGGAAGGGUUGGAGAGCGGAUACAUGUCGGUAAUCAUAUGGGUUGUUAACGUGACCAUGUUUAGCAUUCCAUUGUGUUACUAUUCUGUAUUUAGUUUCUGAUUUGGGUGUAAAAACCUUUUACUUUGUGUUUAUGAUUGAAUGAAGCUUUGAUUAUUAGACUAAUUGCUAUAUUGAAUUGUUUGUUUAUGUUUAAUUUAUCUUGCCAAGCUUGUUAAAAGAUCCUUACGUAUUAAUGAUGAUUAUUUGCUGUUAAUUGUUAAGUGAAUUGAGUUGUGUGAACACCUGCUUGAUUGCUUGUCUCUUAUGAUUUUGAUGACCAUCGAGAUUAUAAGUCUAGGAAUAACGAAUGUGAAACUAGGAUUAACUUGAGAAUAAGUAAGUUAAUGUGUGAGCCUUGUUUGAUGACCAUCAACAAGAGGUAAAUUGAAUGACUAAUUUGAUUAACUAUAUUUACAAGUCUUGCUUGAUACGAACUGAACACUAGGAAGCAUGUUAGUUUAAUAAACUGAUCACUGUUUAAAUUGACUUGUUUGCUAAAGGAUUAGUUAUAGUGAACGCGAAUCUAAUCAUUUUAGGAAUCGGUGAACAUAAAUAAAUGAAUUUGUGUAUGCAAUUGUCUAUGUUUUUAAGGUGUAAUUUAUCUAAACCAAAGUACCUGAAGAGAUUUGCUUUCCUGUUAGUUUAUCGAGAGUUGUUAAUUGUUAGUUUGAGAUUUAUUAAACUAUUUCUUUAUUAUUUUCGUGUGACCUGUAACCUAUAAUCAAAUAUAUUAAAUUAAUUCACCACCGUUCCCUGUGAUCGACACCCGACUUACCUAAGCUAUAUUGUAAUCUGACUAGGUACACUGCCUAUAAGUGCAUAGUUAGUCUAAGUUUGUUAGGUUAUAAAUAUUAAAAUUAGUGGGUACUUUUGUGCACAUCAAUAACACGAACCCAAUCAUCCUACCGGGAUGGAAUACUCUCGGCCCACAACCAUCGGGUUGGAAUGCCCAAACACCUAUACGUACAACACUAGCUACUGUGGGUCUAAUCAUCCCUUAAGAUGGAAUACCCCAGGCCCCUCAACCAUCGAGUUGGAAUGCCAACAUACUAUGAGUCCAAUCAUCCUACCGGGAUGGAAUACUCUCGGCCCACAACCAUCGGGUUGAAAUGCCCCACUUCCUAUACAUACAAUAACUACUACUACUACUAUUACUAUGGUCCAAUCAUCCCUCGGGAUGGAAUAUCCCAGGCCCCUCAACCAUUGGGUUGGAAAGCCAAACUACUAUGAGUCUAAUCAUGCUACUUGGAUGGAAUACUCCUAGCCCACAACCAUCGGGUUGGAAUGCCAAUCUACACUAGCAGACAUGCACACAUAACAGGCAUACAUAAAACACUCUAAAGAACCAACACACUAGGGCCCUAUCAUCCUACCGGGAUGGAAUACCCUUUGCUACAACUCAACAUACAUAACCCACGAGUACUUCCUACCGGUGUACAUGGUGCAAGACCAACUACCAGUCUAUAAAUAAUCACUACCCAACUACCAGGGCGCUGAUCCAAUGGAACUAGCCAUCAUACAACUAUCCAAUACUCAAGGAUACUAAGCUAACAAGGCAUAUUCUUAUAUCACUAUCUCAUCUACCAGGGUACUAGCAAACAUAUCAUCACAUAACAUAACAGGCUCUAACAACAAUUCAAAGGGCCGACCUUGGUGCCUUAGACCCUUGAGUACAGUGAGGAAAACUCACCUAGCAACUGCCAGAAUCCUGCAACUCUCUGACUGCUGACUCGCCGGGAAUCCCAACUAUCAUAUGAGAUCCAUCACAUAAGAAACCAUCACAACUUUCUAGACCAAGGGCCCAUAACACUCAUUAAGUCCGUCAUCCUCUUAUUGGGCCAAGACCCAAAGUCAAAUCCUCAUGCAAAGCCCAAUAUUGGCCCAAUUUACUAAAUUGGGCCCACCUCACCAAAUGGGCCUACAUCCAAGGUCCACAAUAAUUAUUGAGUCCAAAAAUACUCCAUCCGUAAUGCUCAGUCACGGCCCAAGCCCCACUAGCCCAAUCACUUAAGGCCCAAAAUCAAAGCCCAACAGAGGGAGUACGCGAGGCGUACCCCUCUUGGUACGCUGGGCGUACAUCGAUGCUCGCAGAUUGGAGUCGGGACACAGACCCACUACGUUGGGCGUACAUCCAUUUGCGCGGGGUGUAAUCUCGCUGAACUAAAAUCCCACAUAAGUUCUUAAUGGCUUAAGCUCUUAAUCCCAAACUUCAGAUCCAUAGACCAAAUAUGCCUAGGAUUCAUAAAGUCUCAAACUUUAUUACUUGGGACGUCCAUAAAGCUCUUAACUCACGGUCUUAAUCCAUUAAGACCUACCUAUCUCACGCAUGAGACAACCAAAGCCAUUGGGACCUCAUUUUUCUCACUCAAGACCUCUCCUAAGGUCUGAAAGGACAGCUAAUCUCAACUAACUCGCAUCAUGCAUCACUUUGGGGUUUUUGGGACAAGAAUGGUGUCCAAAACUUCAUAAUACAUAGGUCUACAGAAUAUGUUUGUCAAGUAAGAGACUUUAUACCUCAAAAGGGCUCCAGAAGAUGAUGCCUUUCCAGAUCUACGAGCUCUAGCCACCCCACUCCUUCUUUGACAACUUCUUCUUUCUUCUUCUAGGCUUUCCUUUGCCAAACCAAGCUCUCCAAGGUCAAAUAUCCACAACAAUGGAAGAAGAACGGCUACUUAGGGUUUCUGAGGGUAAGAGGGCAGAUAUGGAGGCUGGGGUUGGAACCAUAAUGUUCCUUAUAUAGUGGUUGGCCCUAAAAUUAGGGUUUCUGGAUGAUAGACAUACGCUGGGCGUAAUUCCAGUACGCUGGGCGUACGCCGAGGGAUCCCGCUUUUCAUUAAUUCGAUUACGUUGGGUGUAACCCAGCCUACGCUGGGCGUACCCACGCGUGUCCCAUGCAUGCAUUGCCUUACUUUGUCAACUUUUUCCAUCAAGUGGCAUAAGUGACAAUAUCUUCAAAGUGUCAUAGCUCCUUUAUUUUAAGUCCAUUUCCGACAAAAUUUAUAUCCACGAAAAGGUGGAGAGAAGCCCUACACUUCUAGCAACACAUCCCGACCCAAAACCUUCUCGAAUAUAACCCAUUGCCCAUAGAAAACCGAAACGCUCUUACUCUUUGAUCUCGGGGAACCAUAAAUAACUACUCUUAGAAUGGGGCGUUACAUUUGAGAUCGUGAAACUUCAUAGCAGAGAAGAACCAAUUUUCUUCGAUAAACUGAAUUGACGUGGUGAAAAUGAAGCCAAACGUUUGUUAAAUUGUUUCAUGUUUCUUUGCAGUUUACACUUCCUCCAUCUAAAAGUCAAAAAUAACUUCAAACCAAAAGCUUUUCAAUUGAAACACACAAUGGUACAUUCCCUUGCACAAAAAAAAUUCAUUACAAAUUAAACCUAGAGCAAAAAAAAAGAAUAGAAAAAUGACACAUUUUUUUAUAAAUCUUUGACCAAAUCGCCCGUUUCAAAAAACGGUGACAGUGGUUGAAAGAUAAUCUAACCUUCGUUUCUUUAUGAAAUUCAUAAAGAGUGAAGUGCAUGAAAAAUUCCUGAAAAAAAAAACCAAAAUAUCCAUGGAAUGAAUGUAAGAUCACACGAAUUCCCAAAAUACCCUUUAAAUAAAAGUUUAUUCCAUUCAUCAAAAAAAAUUUAAAAGUCACCACUCUUUUUUAUCUCCCAUGCUCCGUAAACAAAACCCAAACCAGUAGAUUAAGUUCCUUUUGAUAAUAAUUUGAACCAAAUGCCCCUGCUUGCUUACACACCAACUACAAAUGAGAAAUAACCCAACUUUAAUUAUAGAUCUAAACAAAGGGGAACUGCAGUGACCAUUUAAAUUAAAAUCGACAGGUUAAUCUUUCCGAUCGAUUUAUGGUUCCGUUCAUUUCCAAGGACCAGGAACAUCAAUAUGGGUUUUUGCUCAUUUCCAAUCUCCAAUCAACGAAAACAUGAAGAAAAUCGAAAACAUUAGCUAAUGAAAGUGGUUUUACCUCAAAUUAUAAGUCAAGGUCAAGAAUGCAAACCUGGACAUUGAUAAAACAAAAAAUUAUCAUGGACCGACAAAUGAAAUUGCAAAAUUGGCAAGAAACACGAUUAAUCAUAAAUUUGAAGCAUGGACAUUGAUACACGCCUUAUUAAUACACAAAUAAAUGCUAUUUCUUUCAUUUAGCCCAAAAUUAUAGAAAAUUUAAGCAAAAGGAGAAUUUGCCUCUUUCUUCUUUCCUCCAUAGAAGAGCUUGUAUCCACCAUAAAUAAAUACUCCCCACCCCAUUAAAGAGACAAUAAGAAACUGAAAAUACACACACACACACACAAACAGAUUCAUAUCAUCAAUAAAAAUAUCUGGAUCAUAGUUUUUCAUUACAGUUUGAAGAAUAAAUUCUUUUUUAGCCAAUUCCUAAUUUAUAUAGAAAUUUAGAAACAACAAUGUUCUAUUACUUGUUACUGUUAUUAAACCAACUGACAAGCAACCAACAUCAAAAUUCAAAAGUUAAAACUUAAACAUGUAAUUGAGUGAAAAAAUGCAUAUAAAGAAGGUAAUCCAUGUCAGGCAUUUGAUCGAACAACUUGCCUGCAAUCUGAUUUCUAUUCUUUUAGUUAUUCUAAGUGUUUGAUUUCUAUCCUUCUAUUAACUUUGAGUGGGUUGUUCAUCAUCAAGACUUUCGUUUCAACGAGAUAUAAGGCAUAAGACUAAUCAAAUCAAGAGACAUCUGAGAAAUGUAGAAGAACAUGGAUUAUUGACAUCAGUCAACAGACAACCAAAUUAAGAGAAAAGGAUCAUCACCAUCACCAACGACACUGAUAACCAUGAAAUUGGUAUCAAUAUUGUCGAUUUCAAAAGAAAUCAGAAAAACGGAAGAAAAAGGAACCUGAGGUGAGACGGUGUAGCUGUAGGGUACGAAGCUGGUGGCGGUGAAGGCUGUGAGAAAGGGGACCGACUGGUUCCAGGGUCCUGUGAGAGGUUAUCGACAGCGGUGCCUGAGAAGUUGUAAGCGACGGAGAUUUCUGAAGGCCAUUCGAGAGAGGCUAUCGGCCACAAAGUUUUCCUAUGAUAGAGAAGCCGACAAAGAUUAUUCGUGUCUUAGAGAAUAUCGGUGGUUUGGAGGAACGGUGGAAGGAACUGGAAAUGGAAAUAUAUGCAAAUGGUUUAAAUCGAGAAAAUCGAGAAGCAUCGGAA